GAGCUGCUUUUCUACUGAACACACGAGUUGAUUUCCUCACUAUCACUGUGUCUGAACAGGAACGAUGAUCUCACUCUUUGUGGCGCUUUACUCUCUGCUUUGUCUCUGCACAGCUGUAAAAACAUCUGACAUCAAGGAGCUUCACGUGAGAACAGUAAAGAGUGGAGAAGAUGUAACUAUAGCGUGUGAUCUCAGUCUGAUCAGAGACAAAAGUAAAGUAGUCUGGUACAGACAGAGUUUUGGAAAAGUGCCUCAGUUUUUUGCAAAACGUUACGGGACAAAUAGUUACACAUUUACUGAUGGAUUUAAUGAUAAUCGCUUCAGUUUUACUGUAAAUGAGCAUCAGUUUGAUCUCAACAUUAAGAACCUGAGAGAAGAUGAUGGAGGAGAAUAUUUCUGUGGAGAAAUGGAGGGAACUACAAUAAAGUUCACAUCUGGAGCACGUCUGCAAUUUGAAGAUAAAGAGAUGAAACUCUGUCCUUCACCUGGACCAGAAAACAAGAUCAAAGGUUCUGAUCCACACCAGCUUUCAAGCAACACCAGUGAUUCCAGUUGUACUGAUCAGAUGCAUGUGCUCUUCUUGCUCUCUAUUGUUAGAGUUGGAGUUCUUGCCUUCAUGAUUAUUAUCUUUCCAAUCCUCCUGAUUGUUUGUAAAUUCAGAUCAAAUUAGAAAUUUAAUAUAGAAAUAGAAGAAAUAGUGAAAUAAGGACAAAACCAUGUGUUGGAUUCAGUUCAUGAUAAUUGAUGAUGUUGGUUAUUUACUGGAAUGAUUUUGGUCUGACUGCAAUGUGGAGAUAUUUACAGCUGUAAAUA